CAACACUCCCUUAAAGAUGAUGAUGUUACUAGAGUACUUGGUCCUGAACGUCGAGGAUGGGUAAGAGGUCUUGGUUUUGGUGCGACUCCUUCAAAGUUGAGUGCUUUGAUGCACAAUCAUAACUUGCAAACUCAAGUCCAAGAAUUGAGAAAUGAAAUUAAAGAAUUAAAAUCUUUGUUUCAAAUUAAGAGUAAGAGUGUUGAACAAGAAGAUAAUCCUAGAGAUGGAAGCUUGAAUGUUUCAAAUAACCUUCAAAAUAGGAAAUGCAAAUUGUUAUCUUGGUUUGGGAAAGCCGAUGGUGUUGCAAAAGGGGAAAUCGCAUCAACAAAUCCAAGUGAUUUGGUGCAUCAUGUACCACUUGGUAAUGAAUGUUGGAGAGUUUGGGUUAAUGAAGUGAUUGAAAAUGUCAGCUUAUAUCGUCCUACACGUGAGCUUUUUCUUCUUGAAGAUGCAUUAGGAAGUACAAUAGCAUGGCCAAUUAGAUACAUUGAAGUGGAUUCGCUAUAAUCACAAUGAAGGUAUAGGCAGAUUACAAAUGAGCAUUGCUGAAGUCUCACCCAGAUCGAGCUUCGCACUCAUGUGAUUGGAAAGCAUUCUUUUGUUUGUAAAAUAACUUAUCAGUGUUGGUUGAACUUAUGUCUGUUGGUUGAGAAGAAAUUAGUUAUGACUCAGGCUUGUCAUUUGUUGAACUUAUGUCUAUUGGUUGAGAAAAUGAAAAGUAGCUGUUACAUUUUAUUUAUA